rnacentral:misc_RNA from 1 species
UCUCCGUUGGUGAACCAGCGGAGGGAUCAUUAUAGAGUUUUCUAAACUCCCAACCCUUUGUGAACCAAACUUGUUGCUUCGGGGGCGACCCUGCCGCUUCGGCGGUGCGGCGCCCCCGGUGGCCAAUUAUUAAACUCUGCAUCUCUUGCGUCGGAGUCUUAAAGAAAUUUAAACAAAACUUUCAACAACGGAUCUCUUGGUUCUGGCAUCGAUGAAGAACGCAGC